GACGAACGCUGGCGGCGUGCCUAAUACAUGCAAGUCGAACGGUCUUUUCUAUGGAAGCUUGCUUCCACUGAGAAGAUAGUGGCGAACGGGUGAGUAACACGUGGGUAACCUGCCCAUAAGAGGGGGAUAACAUCCGGAAACGGGUGCUAAUACCGCAUAGUUUUCUUGAUCGCAUGAUUGAGAAAGGAAAGACGGCCUUUGCGCUGUCGCUUAUGGAUGGACCCGCGGCGUAUUAGUUAGUUGGUGAGGUAACGGCUCACCAAGACGAUGAUACGUAGCCGACCUGAGAGGGUGAUCGGCCACAUUGGGACUGAGACACGGCCCAAACUCCUACGGGAGGUAGCAGUAGGGAAUCUUCCGCAAUGGACGAAAGUCUGACGGAGCAACGCCGCGUGAGUGAAGAAGGUUUUCGGAUCGUAAAACUCUGUUGUCAGAGAAGAACAAGUUGGAGAGUAACUGCUCCAGCCUUGACGGUAUCUGGCCAGAAAGCCACGGCUAACUACGU
rnacentral:rRNA from 1 species